CGUACACGGUGGAUGCCCUGGCAGUCAGAGGCGAUGAAGGACGUGCUAAUCUGCGAUAAGCGUCGGUAAGGUGAUAUGAACCGUUAUAACCGGCGAUUUCCGAAUGGGGAAACCCAGUGUGAUUCGUUACACUAUCAUUAACUGAAUCCAUAGGUUAAUGAGGCGAACCGGGGGAACUGAAACAUCUAAGUACCCCGAGGAAAAGAAAUCAACCGAGAUUCCCCCAGUAGCGGCGAGCGAACGGGGAGCAGCCCA
rnacentral:rRNA from 1 species